rnacentral:rRNA from 1 species
UAGGGAAUCUUCCACAAUGGACGCAAGUCUGAUGGAGCAACGCCGCGUGAGUGAAGAAGGGUUUCGGCUCGUAAAGCUCUGUUGUUAAAGAAGAACGUGGGUAAGAGUAACUGUUUAUACGUUGACGGUAUUUAACCAGAAAGUCACGGCUAACUACGUGCCAG